rnacentral:lncRNA from 1 species
AGCAGUGGGAAUACUUUCUAACUCACUUGAGUGAAAAAGGGACAACUUGGUGUAAAAAGUUUAAAUAAUUCAUUUUCACAAUCUAGGUCACUUUGCCAGAGAGCUGGGUUUGGAAGUGCUUACAUAAACAACUCAUCUGACAGAUAUGAGGGAUCAGGAAUACACGGAAGAGAGGCAACAAAGAAAAUUUGGGAGUGAUAACUACUUCCAGUGUCACAGCUCAAUCUAGAGGAAUAGCGAUAAAACUGUGGUGUGGAAGAGAUAUAAACUAAAAUUCCAUGGCAUGAAUGCAGCCAAACUUAUUCAACAUUUCAUUGUUGAGCCAAGAGUAAAAUAACACUGUUCUGAAGAAGCCUAUGCAUUAUCCUGGUGUGCAGCAGCUGAAGAUUUAAUAAAGGUUGUUGACUGGGACCUUCUCCGUAAACCUCUGGUCUCCUGUUCAGGUAUUUAACACAUACCCCUCUGGGAUAUAAGAAAAGCUUCUCCCAGAGCACUGUUGAGAAAUGGAGGCAGAGAAAAGCAUGGAGGCUUUCCAAAGAGAAUCUCAUCAGAGCACAAAUUGAAGCAAAUUUCCUGAACUUUCAAGCUUGUGUUUAACAACAUAACUAAUUCUUUAAAUAGAAG